rnacentral:rRNA from 1 species
AGUGAACGCUGGCGGUAGGCCUAACACAUGCAAGUCGAACGGCAGCACAGUAAGAGCUUGCUCUUACGGGUGGCGAGUGGCGGACGGGUGAGGAAUACAUCGGAAUCUACUUUUUCGUGGGGGAUAACGUAGGGAAACUUACGCUAAUACCGCAUACGACCUACGGGUGAAAGCAGGGGAUCUUCGGACCUUGCGCGAUUGAAUGAGCCGAUGUCGGAUUAGCUAGUUGGCGGGGUAAAGGCCCACCAAGGCGACGAUCCGUAGCUGGUCUGAGAGGAUGAUGCGCCACACUGGAACUGAGACACGGUCCAGACUCCUACGGGAGGCAGCAGUGGGGAAUAUUGGACAAUGGGCGCAAGCCUGAUCCAGCCAUACCGCGUGGGUGAAGAAGGCCUUCGGGUUGUAAAGCCCUUUUGUUGGGAAAGAAAAGCAGCAGGUUAAUACCCCGCUGUUCUGACGGUACCCAAAGAAUAAGCACCGGCUAACUUCGUG